rnacentral:rRNA from 1 species
AGAGUUCUUUCCUGGCUCAGAUUGAACGCUGGCGGCAGGCCUAACACAUGCAAGUCGAGCGGUAGAGAGAAGCUUGCUUCUCUUGAGAGCGGCGGACGGGUGAGUAAUGCCUAGGAAUCUGCCUGGUAGUGGGGGAUAACGUUCGGAAACGGACGCUAAUACCGCAUACGUCCUACGGGAGAAAGCAGGGGACCUUCGGGCCUUGCGCUAUCAGAUGAGCCUAGGUCGGAUUAGCUAGUUGGUGAGGUAAUGGCUCACCAAGGCGACGAUCCGUAACUGGUCUGAGAGGAUGAUCAGUCACACUGGAACUGAGACACGGUCCAGACUCCUACGGGAGGCAGCAGUGGGGAAUAUUGGACAAUGGGCGAAAGCCUGAUCCAGCCAUGCCGCGUGUGUGAAGAAGGUCUUCGGAUUGUAAAGCACUUUAAGUUGGGAGGAAGGGCAGUUACCUAAUACGUGAUUGUUUUGACGUUACCGACAGAAUAAGCACCGGCUAACUCUGUGCCAGCAGCCGCGGUAAUACAGAGGGUGCAAGCGUUAAUCGGAAUUACUGGGCGUAAAGCGCGCGUAGGUGGUUAGUUAAGUUGGAUGUGAAAUCCCCGGGCUCAACCUGGGAACUGCAUUCAAAACUGACUGACUAGAGUAUGGUAGAGGGUGGUGGAAUUUCCUGUGUAGCGGUGAAAUGCGUAGAUAUAGGAAGGAACACCAGUGGCGAAGGCGACCACCUGGACUGAUACUGACACUGAGGUGCGAAAGCGUGGGGAGCAAACAGGAUUAGAUACCCUGGUAGUCCACGCCGUAAACGAUGUCAACUAGCCGUUGGGAGCCUUGAGCUCUUAGUGGCGCAGCUAACGCAUUAAGUUGACCGCCUGGGGAGUACGGCCGCAAGGUUAAAACUCAAAUGAAUUUGACGGGGGCCCGCACAAGCGGUGGAGCAUGUGGUUUAAUUCGACGCUACGCGAAGAACCUUACCUGGGCUUGAACUGCUGGAGGUAGGAGCCCGAAAGGGUAACGACCCGGAGCAAUCCGGGAACCAGCAGAGGUGCUGCAUGGCUGUCGUCAGCUCGUGUCGUGAGAUGUUGGGUUAAGUCCCGCAACGAGCGCAACCCUUGCCCUUAGUUGCCAGCGGGUAAUGCCGGGCACUCUAAGGGGACCGCCCCGGAUAACGGGGAGGAAGGCGGGGAUGACGUCAAGUCAGCAUGGCCUUUAUGUCCAGGGCUACACACGUGCUACAAUGGGCGGUACAGAGGGAGGCAAAGCCGCGAGGUGGAGCUAAUCCCUAAAGCCGUCCUCAGUUCGGAGGGCAGGCUGCAACUCGCCUGCAUGAAGAUGGAAUCGCUAGUAAUCGCAGAUCAGCCAUGCUGUGGUGAAUGCGAGGUCGGGGCUUGCACUCACCGCCCGUCA